AAGUCGUAACAAGGUCUCCGUUGGUGAACCAGCGGAGGGAUCAUUACAGAGUUGUAAAACUCCCUAAACCACUGUGAACAUACACCGUUACGUUGCUUCGGCGGGUGGUCCUACUCUGGACCCGACCUCUUAGGAGGGUCAGCCCGCCGGCUGCUAAACUAUUGUCAGUUGUGUAUCUCUGAGUUAAAGACAAAAUAAGUUAAAACUUUCAACAACGGAUCUCUUGGUUCUG
rnacentral:misc_RNA from 1 species